rnacentral:rRNA from 1 species
GCUGACGACCGGCGCACGGGUGCGUAACGCGUAUACAACCUACCUUUUAGCGGGGAAUAGCCCAGGGAAACUUGGAUUAAUGCCCCAUAGUAUGGAGUUCUCACCUGAGAAUUUCAUUAAACAUUUAUGGCUAUUAGAUGGGUAUGCGUCCUAUUAGUUUGUUGGUAAGGUAACGGCUUACCAAGGCAUCGAUAGGUAGGGGUCCUGAGAGGGAGAUCCCCCACACUGGUACUGAGACACGGACCAGACUCCUACGGGAGGCAGCAGUGAGGAAUAUUGGACAAUGGGCGAGAGCCUGAUCCAGCCAUGCCGCGUGCAGGAAGACUGCCCUAUGGGUUGUAAACUGCUUUUACAGAGGAAGAACCACCCCCACGUGUGGGGGUUUGACGGUACUCUGCGAAUAAGGAUCGGCUAACUCCGUGCCAGCAGCCGCGGUAAUACGGAGGAUCCAAGCGUUAUCCGGAAUCAUUGGGUUUAAAGGGUCCGUAGGCGGGCAGUUAAGUCAGUGGUGAAAGUCUUCCGCUCAACGGGAGAACUGCCAUUGAUACUGAUUGUCUUGAGUUAUUAUGAAGUGGUUAGAAUGAGUAGUGUAGCGGUGAAAUGCAUAGAUAUUACUCAGAAUACCGAUUGCGAAGGCAGAUCACUAAUAAUAUACUGACGCUGAUGGACGAAAGCGUAGGUAGCGAACAGGAUUAGAUACCCUGGUAGUCUACGCCGUAAACGAUGGUUACUAGCUGUUCGGCCCGAUUAAGGGCUGAGUGGUUAAGCGAAAGUGAUAAGUAACCCACCUGGGGAGUACGUUCGCAAGAAUGAAACUCAAAGGAAUUGACGGGGGCCCGCACAAGCGGUGGAGCAUGUGGUUUAAUUCGAUGAUACGCGAGGAACCUUACCAGGGCUUAAAUGUAGUCUGACAGGAGUGGAAACACUUUUUUCUUCGGACAGAUUACAAGGUGCUGCAUGGUUGUCGUCAGCUCGUGCCGUGAGGUGUCAGGUUAAGUCCUAUAACGAGCGCAACCCCUGUGGUUAGUUGCCAGCGAGUAAUGUCGGGAACUCUAGCCAGACUGCCGGUGCAAACCGCGAGGAAGGUGGGGAUGACGUCAAAUCAUCACGGCCCUUACGUCCUGGGCCACACACGUGCUACAAUGGUAGGGACAGAGAGCAGCCACUUCGCGAGAAGGAGCGAAUCUACAAACCCUAUCACAGUUCGGAUCGCAGUCUGCAACUCGACUGCGUGAAGCUGGAAUCGCUAGUAAUCGCAUAUCAGCCAUGAUGCGGUGAAUACGUUCCCGGGCCUUGUACACACCGCCCGUCAAGCCAUGGAAGCCGGGGGUACCUGAAGUCGGUCACCGCAAGGAGCCGCCUAGGGUAAAACUGGUAACUGGGGCUAAGUCGUAACAAGGUAGCCGUACCGGAAGGUGCGGCUGGAACACCUCCUUUCU